GUCCGGAGCUCCUUGAGAUCGCAGCGGCGGCUCUUGAUCUUUAAGGUUUCCAUCUUCUUGCUGAUGGUGGUCCUGGGGAUAUCCUUAAACAGGUCGCUGAGGACCUGGGCCAAAGCAAACAUCUGGGUGCCAUUGAUCUGGUUUUACGAGCCGUUGCUGCGCCUUCCCAAAUCUGCCCCGAUUCCUCUGGGAUGGGUGUGUGUACGUAUAGAUUUAAUAAAGCGUAAAAGAUCCGGCUCUAAGCGAGUUGUUCGCAACGAUUGACUCCGCAACAAUUCAUCCUUCAACCUUCAAUGCUUAUUAAUUGCCCAUUACUGUAUUUAUUAGCUGGCAUGAGCGGGGUGUCCACAACAACAUCGGUAGCGUGUGCGAAUAGAAGCAACGCGAAGAUAUUUAUA